rnacentral:rRNA from 1 species
GAUGAACGCUAGCUACAGGCUUAACACAUGCAAGUCGAGGGGCAGCAUGAACAUAGCUUGCUAUGUUUGAUGGCGACCGGCGCACGGGUGCGUAACACGUAUCCAAUCUGCCCGUCACUCGGGGAUAGCCUUCUGAAAGGAGGAUUAAUACCCGAUGGCAUGCAUUUCCGGCAUCGGAGAUGCAUUAAAGAUUUAUCGGUGACGGAUGAGGAUGCGUACGAUUAGCUUGUUGGCGGGGUAACGGCCCACCAAGGCGACGAUCGUUAGGGGUUCUGAGAGGAAGGUCCCCCANACUGGAACUGAGACACGGUCCAGACUCCUACGGGAGGCAGCAGUGAGGAAUAUUGGUCAAUGGGCGGGAGCCUGAACCAGCCAAGUAGCGUGAAGGAGACUGCCCUACGGGUUGUAAACUUCUUUUGUUUGGGAAUAAAAGACGCUACGUGUAGCGUUGUGCAUGUACCUUACGAAUAAGCAUCGGCUAAUUCCGUGCCAG